GACGAACGCUGGCGGCGUGCUUAACACAUGCAAGUCGAACGGAAAGGCCCUGCUUGCAGGGUACUCGAGUGGCGAACGGGCGAGUAACACGUGGGUGAUCUGCCCUGCACUUCGGGAUAAGCCUGGGAAACUGGGUCUAAUACCGGCUAGGAGCCAUAUUUAGUGUGAUGGUUGGAAAGUUUUUUCGGUGUAGGAUGAGCUCGCGGCCUAUCAGCUUGUUGGUGGGGUAAUGGUCUACCAAGGCGGCGGCGGGUAGCCGGCCUGAGAGGGUGGACGGCCACAUUGAGACUGAGAUACGGCACAGACUCCUACGGGAGGGAGCUGUGGGGAAGAUUGCACAAUGGGCGCAAGCCGGGUGCAGCGGCGCCGCGUGGGGGAUGACGGCCUUCGGGUUGUAAAAUCCUUUCGCUAGGGACGAAGCUUUUUGUGACGGUACCUAGAUAAGAAGCACCGGCUAACUACGUG
rnacentral:rRNA from 1 species